rnacentral:rRNA from 1 species
AUACGUAGGGGACGAGCGUUGUCCGGAAUUACUGGGUGUAAAGGGCGUGUAGGCGGUUUAGCAAGUCAGAAGUGAAAUUCCCGGGCUUGACUUGGGCGCUGCUUCUGAAGCUGCUUUACUUGAGUGCUGGAGAGGAUAGUGGAAUUCCUAGUGUAGCGGUAAAAUGCGCAGAUAUUAGGAGGAACACCGGUGGCGAAGGCGGCUAUCUGGACAGUAACUGACGCUGAGGCGCGAAAGCACGGGGAGCAAACAGGAUUAGAUACCCUGGUAGUCCGCACAGUAAACGAUGUGCACCAGGUGGCGGGGGGUAGCCCUCGGUACCGAAGCCAACGCAUUAAGUGCACCGCCUGGGGAGUAUGCUCGCAAGGGUGAAACUCAAAUGAAUUGACGGGG